GACGAACGCUGGCGGCGUGCUUAACACAUGCAAGUCGAACGGAAAGGCCCUGCUUUUGUGGGGUGCUCGAGUGGCGAACGGGUGAGUAACACGUGAGUAACCUGCCCUUGACUUUGGGAUAACUUCAGGAAACUGGGGCUAAUACCGGAUAGGAGCUCCUGCUGCAUGGUGGGGGUUGGAAAGUUUCGGCGGUUGGGGAUGGACUCGCGGCUUAUCAGCUUGUUGGUGGGGUAGUGGCUUACCAAGGCUUUGACGGGUAGCCGGCCUGAGAGGGUGACCGGCCACAUUGGGCCUGCGAUACGGCCCAGACUCCUACGGGAGGCAGCAGUGGGGAGUAUUGCACAAUGGGCGGAAGCCUGAUGCAGCAACGCCGCGUGCGGGAUGACGGCCUUCGGGUUGUAAACCGCUUUCGCCUGUGACGAAGCGUGAGUGACGGUAAUGGGUAAAGAAGCACCGGCUAACUACGUG
rnacentral:rRNA from 1 species